rnacentral:lncRNA from 1 species
CUUAGAUGGCAGCCAGAACAUAAACAAAUCAUUGGCUCCAAUAAGGGUUUUCAGAUGAUAGGAAGCUGGAUUUUACUCUCUUUGAGGAUAUUGUCCUAACAAUUGCUGGGUGCCCUCAAGAUUCUCCAAUGCCUCCAAUAUGUAAGCCUCAGGCCUAAGGGGAAACUACACAAUUCUGGACCUUGGCGGGGGAGUGAACUCAGCUGGAACAGGUUAAAAAUCCUACUCAAUCUCCAUGAUUGAGUGACAAAUCCAGGAGAAAGUGAGGUUAAUCCAGCCACAGGCAGAAUGCCUCCUCUGAGUGUGUAUAAACCAGUGAAAUGUGCAGGAGGCCUGGGAAGCAGCGGCGAGGUCCAGCGAAAAUAAUCAUCACUCUUCACGCCGAGAGGCAACAAGCACUGCAGGUGAGAUAAAGUUCCAGACUUUAAAUCCGUCCUCAGUGCAGCAGGCCUGCGGCCACACUUCCCCAGAGAAGGCGCCUUGUCCAUCACUACAAUCAGCUCCACCAAAGCAUUUUAUCCAUUUAUUUAUUUUCAAGUUGUCAACGACGUUUUUGAAAGCGAAGGCAGACAAAGCUUCUUCUAUACAGCCUGAGGGAUCUGUAUUCCUUUUAACCAAAAUGGCCUGCAGACAUUUUUGCAAAACUAAUAAAAAAGCUCU